GAAGCAUCUCGCUGUUAAACGCUCUCUGGUGUCCUCUCAUCAUCACCGGCAGCAGCAGCCUCAGCAGCCCCGCCUCGCUCACGCGAACCGCUGGGCUGGUUCACCUCCAACAACACAAGCCCACAUCUGGCUGUCACACACACACACACACACACACACACACAUACAUACACAGCAGUGCAGAGCAGCUCCGACCGGUACCGCGCGGCAUGCGUACACUCACACACCGGGACACACGGAGUGGACUUUAAUCAGAGCGGCGCUAUGGCUGAGGUGCGAAAAUUCACAAAGAGGUUAAGCAAACCGGGCACGGCCGCGGAAGUGAGGCAGAGCGUGUCGGAGGCUGUGAGGAGCACCGUGGACCUUGUGGAGCAGCCAAAGAUCAUUGAACCACUGGACUAUGAAGCUGUGGUAUUUCAGAGAAAGGCCCAGAUCCACAGUGACCCCCACAGAGACCUGCUGCUCUGCCCUGUCGACGAUGUCUCGGAGUCCCAGAUCGCCCGGCAGAGGAGGACUAUUGUUCCCUCCGUGCCUCAGAAUGCUGAGUGGGAGGCCAGGAGUCUGUUUGCCAAAGAGUGCAUCAAGAUGUACAACACCGACUGGCAUGUCAUCAACUACAAAUAUGAGACUUACUCUGGCGACUUCCGCAUGUUGCCCAGCAAAGGCCUGAAGACAGACAAGCUGCCGGCUCACGUGUUCGAGAUUGAUGAAGACGCCAAAGACGAGGAUUCGGCAUCGCUGUGCUCCCAGAGGGGAGGAAUCAUGAAGCAGGGCUGGCUUCAGAAAGCCAACAUCAACAGCAGCCUGUCUGUCUCCAUGAGGGUGUUUAAAAGGAGGUACUUCUACUUGUCUCAGCUCCCAGACGGCUCCUACAUCCUCAACUCCUACAAGGAUGAGAAGAACUGCAAGGAUACUAAAGGAUCCAUCUACCUGGAUUCCUGCAUAGAUGUUGUCCAGAGCCCCAAGAUGCGGCGUAAUGGCUUCGAACUGAAGAUGCAAGACCGCUACAGCCAUUUUCUGGCAGCAGACAGCGAGGCAGAAAUGGAGGAAUGGGUGGUCACUCUGAAACAGGCUCUGCAGAGCAGCACUGAGGCCAGCCAGGACCGGAGGAAUGGUGCCGAGACACUGGACUGCACCCUGGAUGAUGACACCACCAGCCAAGGUAAAGGCGAGAGCCUGCUGGAGAGUCUGGGGAGGAGCUUACACCCUGAACUUAUGAAGUAUGCCAGGGAGACAGACCAGCUCAAUAAAAUCAACAGGAAUGAUGGCAGGCAAAAGCUUUUCUCUCUGGAUCCUGAGACACAGAGGCUGGACUUCUCAGGCAUCGAGCCAGAUGUGAAGCCAUUUGAGGAACGCUUUGGCCGGCGUAUCGUGGUCAGCUGCCAUGACCUGACCUUCAGUCUGCAGGGCUGCGUCAGCGAGAAGGGCGAUGGCGUCCUCACCAACGUGGAACCAUUCUUCAUCAGCCUCGCUCUCUUCGACGUCUCCAAGAGCUGCAAAAUCUCUGCUGACUUUCACAUCGACCUCAACCCGCCCUGCGUCAGGGAGAUGUUGACCGACGCCUCGGGCCAGCUCUCUCCUUCAUCUGACUCAGACGGUGGUGGAGGUGGAGGAGCUGUGAGGGAGGGAGGAGGGGGAUGUGGAAUCAUGGUGAACGGAGACUCUGGGAAAGGGAACGGCCUGCCAGCUCUUCAGAGGGUGUCGGAGGCUCUGCUGCGCUUCCCAACACAGGGUAUCUUUUCAGUGACCAACCCUCAUGCAGACAUCUUCCUGGUGGCCCGUGUGGAGAAGGUGUUACAGAACGGCAUCACACACUGUGCCGAGCCAUACAUCAAGACCUCCGACACCAACAAGAACGCUCAGAAGGUGCUCAAGGCUGCCAAGCAGACAUGCCAACGCUUGGGCCAGUACAGGAUGCCAUUUGCCUGGGCUGCCAAGCAGGUGUUCAAAGACGCUCAGGGCAGCCUGGACAUGGAUGGUAAGUUUUCACCUCUCUACCGCCAGGACAGCAGCAAAAUCUCCACUGACGACAUCAUCAAGCUGCUGGCCGACAUCAGGAAACCUGAGAAGAGCAAACUUCAGGCCAUCCCUGGACAGCUGAAUGUCACCAUUGAGUGUGUCCCACCUGACUUCUCAAAUACGGUGACUUCUUCUUACGUUCCCGUCAAGCCCUUCGAGGACGGCUGCGAGCGGGUGUCAGUGGAGAUCGAGGAGUUUCUCCCUGAGGAGGCCAAGUACAACUACCCCUUCACCACCUACAAGAACCAGCUCUACAUCUACCCCCUGCAGCUCAAAUACGACAACCAGAAGACUUUCACCAAGGCUAGAAACAUUGCAGUAUGCAUGCAGUUCCGAGAUUCAGAUGACGAAGGUGCAGCCCCUUUAAAGUGCAUCUACGGCAAGCCGGGAGACUCACUCUUCACCAGCAGCACCUACGCAGCUGUCCUGCACCACAACCAGAGCCCAGAAUUCUACGACGAGGUGAAGAUUGAGCUGCCGGUGCACAUGCACGAGAAACACCAUGUCCUCUUCACCUUUUACCAUAUCAGCUGUGAGUCCAGCAGCAAGGCGAGCAGCAAGAAGCGAGAGGGAGUCGAGUCGCUGGUGGGUUAUUCCUGGAUGCCUUUGCUAAAAGAUGGGAGGAUGCAGUCAGUCGAGCUCCAGCUGCCUGUAGCAGCCACCUUGCCCCCUGGAUAUCUAUGUCAGGACACCAGGAAGUCCCAACCAGAUAUCAAGUGGGUGGAAAAUGCCAAGACACUGUUCAAAGUGAGGACCCAUGUAGCAUCAACCAUAUAUGCUCAGGACCUGCAUCUACACAAUUUCUUCCAGCACUGCCAGCUGAUGAGGACGACAUCAGAGGGCAACCCAGCUGAACUUAUCAAAUACCUGAAGUGCCUGCAUGCCAUGGAGACGCACGUAAUCAUCAAUUUCCUGCCAACGGUGCUGAUGCAGCUGUUUGAGGUUCUCACAGCAGCAACCAAAGAGUCUCAUGAGAUUGCUGUCAACUCUCUGCGUGUGAUCAUACAUAUAGUCUCCAGAUGUCACGAGGAGGGCCUGGAACACUACCUGCGUUCUUUUGUCAAGUACGUGUUUGUGACCAACAACCCUGCAUCAGGAAACUCAGCGGCCACUCAUGAGGUGCUGGCUACCGCUGUCACAGCCACUCUGAAGCAAACUGCUGAUUUCAACACCAGCAACAAACUGCUCAAGUACUCCUGGUUCUUCUUUGAAACCAUGGCCAAAUCCAUGGCCCAAUAUCUGCAAGAGGGCAACCGGAUAAAGAUGCCACGUGCCCAGCGUUUCCCUGACAGUUUCCACCAGGCGCUUCAGUCGUUGGUGUUGUCUAUCAUGCCACACAUCACCAUCCGCCACAUGGAAAUCCCAGAGGAAGCUCGCUGCAUCAACCUGAGCCUGGCCAAUUUCGUCAAGAGAUGCCUGACCGUCAUGAACAGGGGCUUUGCCUUUGGCCUGGUCAACCACUACAUGUGUCAUUUCGGACUCAAAGAUCCCAAGGUGCUGACUGAAAUGAAGUUUGAUUUCCUGAUGACAGUAUGUAAUCACGAACACUUCAUCCCGCUCAACCUGCCCAUGGCUUUUGGGCGCACCAAGCUGCAGAGGGUACAAGAUUUUAUUCCGUAUGCGACGGAGCUUUUUGGCCCUGUAGAGCAGAGUCUGGAGUUCAGCCUGACGGAGGAAUACUGCCGUAACCACUUUCUGGUCGGUCUGCUGCUGAGAGAAGUGGCCGAGGCCUUGCAGCAGGGGCCCGAGGUCAGGCAGCUGGCUGUGAGCGUUCUCAAAAAUCUCCUUAUUAAACACGCCAUGGAUGACCGCUACACAGCGUUCAAGAACCAGCAGGCCAGGAUCUGUUUGCUCUACCUGCCACUUUUGGAGCUGCUCUACCAGAACUUGAAGCAACUGUCUGCCCAGCCAUACACCUCCAGCUCAGGGCUAGGCCUCAAUGGCUCCAGAGAUGACCUGAUAACAACCGGCUCCGCAGACAGCAGGAGAAUCAGCACUGCAAUAGAUAAAGACCACGGUCUGCCUGCUCAGAAUGGCCAUGUUGUGAGGAGAGAGGACUCCAGAGGCUCUCUGUUUAUGGACCCAGGAACACCAGACAGCAUUGAGCUGCAGAGACGUGGCUCCACUAUGAGUUGCAGCACCAUGCCUCCCAUCGGCAGACUGGGACAAUAUGAGAUCAAGGGCCUCCUGCUCUCCUUCCUGCACAUCGUCAAGACUCUGUCAGAGGACACUCUCAAUGCUUACUGGAACAAAGUCAACCCUCAAGACAUCAUGAACUUCCUCAGUUUGCUCGAGGUCUGUCUGGUUCAGUUUCGGUACAUCGGAAAAAGGAACAUUGGCCGGAGUCAGGAGGUGUGUGUGUCGAAGCUGUUUUCCUCAGACAGAAAGUCUCAGACGAUGCCGGUUAUGCGCUGCAAUCGAGCCAGCCUCAUGCAGACUAAGAUCCACCAGUUCAGCACCAUGGAAGCGUCCUUCACUCUCAACAUAGGCACAGGUCCAUCAGAAGCCGAAAUCCACCACCAGGCUCUGCUGGAGGGCAACAUCGCCACCGAAGUCUGCCUGAGUGUCCUGGAUGUCCUCUCUCUUUUCACUCAGUGUUUCAAGACCCAGCUGCUGGACAGCGAAGGUCACAACCCCCUGAUGAAGAAGGUGUUUGACGUUUACCUGACCUUCCUUAAAGUCAGCCAGUCAGAAGCUGCUCUCAGACACGUUUUCUCCUCCCUUAGGGCUUUCAUUAACAAGUUCCCGUCGGUGCUGUUCAAGGGCCGCGUGACACUGUGCGAGGCUCUGUGCUGCGAGGUCCUCAAGUGCUGCGUCUCCAAGCUGGGCUCUCUGAGGGCCGAGGCGUCAGCCCUGCUCUACCUCCUGAUGAGAAACAACUACGAGUACACCAAGAGGAAGACCUUCCUACGCACGCACCUGCAGAUCAUCAUCGCUGUCAGCCAGCUGAUCUCCGAUGUGGCACUGACUGGCAGUUCACGCUUCCAGGAGUCUCUCUCCAUCAUCAACAACUUUGCAAACAGUGACAAGGCCAUGAAGUCCACGGCGUUCCCCUCUGAAGUGAAGGGUCUGACCAAGCGGAUCCGUACAGUGCUGAUGGCCACAGCCCAGAUGAGGGAGCAUGAGAAAGACCCGGAGAUGCUGCUGGACCUCCAGUACAGCCUGGCCCGGUCCUACGCCAGCACCCCUGAGCUGAGACGAACCUGGCUGGACAGCAUGGCCCGAGCACAUCUGAAGAAUGGAGAUCUUUCUGAGGCUGCCAUGUGUUACGUGCAUGUGGCUGCACUGGUCGCCGAAUACUUACACAGGAAAAAGUUGUUCCCCAGCGGCCUCGCAGCUUUUAAGAGGAUUACCUUAAAUAUUGAAGAAGAAGCCGCCAUGAGGGAAGACACCGGAAUGCAAGAUGUGUAUUAUACUGAGGAAGUCCUGGUCGAGCACCUCGAGGUCUGUGUGGAGCAACUGUGGAAAGCUGAGCGCUAUGAGCUCAUCACACACAUUGCCAAGCUCAUUAUCCCCAUCUAUGAGAAACGUCACGAGUAUGAGAAACUGAGCAGACUGUACGACACUCUGCACAGGGCCUACAAUAAGAUAAUGGAGGUGAUACAAUCGGGCCGCAGACUGCUCGGGACAUACUUCAGAGUGGCUUUUUAUGGACAGGGCUUCUUCGAGGAGGAGGAUGGGAAGGAGUACAUUUACAAAGAGCCCAAACUCACUGGCCUGUCUGAAAUCUCCCAGCGCCUGUUGACACUCUACGGAGAAAAGUUUGGGCCAGAAAACGUCAGGAUACUUCAGGACUCAAACAAGGUUAAUCCCAAAGACCUGGACCCCAAGUUCGCCUACGUACAGGUGACGUUUGUCAAACCGUACUUCGAGGAGAAAGAGGCACCAGAAAAGAAGACCGACUUUGAGAAGUGCCACAACAUCAACCGCUUUGUGUUCGAGACGCCUUACACGCUGUCGGGCAAAAAACAUGGAGGCGUGGAGGAGCAGUGCAAGAGGAGGAUCGUGCUCACAACCUCCAACACCUUCCCAUAUGUGAAGAAGCGCGUGGAGGUUGUGGGGGAGAAGCAGGUGGAGCUCAAGCCGGUGGAUGUGGCCAUAGAUGAGAUGAAGGCGCGGACGGCGGAGUUAACCAAGCUCUGCUCCAACCAGGAGGUGGACAUGAUCCAACUGCAGCUCAAACUGCAGGGCUGCGUCUCAGUGCAGGUGAACGCAGGUCCCAUGGCCUAUGCCAGGGCAUUCCUAGAUGACAGCAAAUCAAACCAGUCAGGCAACAAGAAAGUAAAAGACCUUAAGGACAUUUUUCGGCGUUUUGUCGAGGCGUGCAGUAUGGCUCUGGACAUAAAUGAGCGUCUGAUCAAGGAGGACCAGUUUGAGUAUCACGAGGGCCUGAAGUCCAACUUCAAAGAAAUGGUAAAGGAGCUAUCAGACAUCAUCCAUGAGCAGCUGUGGUGUCAUAGCGUGCACUGAAGUGACAGGAGGUGGUGCAGAAAUGAAGAACUAGGAUGUUGUAACAGCAGAAACAACAGCUGAUCUACCAGGAGGAUAUGAUGCGCUCGCUGUUACAAAACUCCCUCCAUGUGUUCCGCGCCAUCAGCGGGACAUCCACCGACCUGGGCUGACCUCUGCCCGGCUGGCAUCCAUCCUCAUGUAUAUCCUCUCACUUUUCCCUCAAAGACCUGAAUGAUGACAGGGGUGACUCGAACUCCUCUUGAUGGCUGCCGAGCUACGCUUGCCAAAACACCCCCCUGCCACCAGUGCAGCAUUUGGACAUAAUAUUCAAACCCCAGCAGCAGUAUUUCUCAGAAUGUAUUGCACCAACACUGACUAAUUGUCAACAUGUCAGGAAUGGGCGUUCUGCUGUGUCACGCUGGGUUGCAAUGCACUUUUUUUCUACCUUUGCGAUAAACUGCCGGAUUGCCUGUUGUUUCUUUACAGGCAGAUUCUGUAUUAAAGCAAUUAUUUUCUUCCAUCUUCUCUCUGCAACGUUGACCCUCCAGAUCUAUGCAGGACACGGCACUCCCUCACAGAAUGUUUUUUUUACAACUUGACUUUUAGAAGAUGAUAGCAUCUCUUCCUCAUACCAUACAGUGUUUUGUUUGGCAAAGCAUUCAUGUUGGGCCAGCACGGUAAAAAAUAUCCCAACAUAACCGGUUCUGUUGCGACAUAAAAAACCAAACCGAAAGCUUUGAGAUUGUCAAGCCAUGGAUCAAGGUGUUUAUAGGCUACCAGUGCAUUCCACCCAGCUUAGCAGAUUGUGAUAAACAAGCUGCUCGCAACAAUUAUAGUCAGCAUAGGACAAUUUUUACAACCCUUUUUGUUCAAAAAUGCCUUCUCAGUCUGUUCCAAAGUUUAAAAAAAAUAGAAGACAGACCUCAGGGUUAUGUUGAAGCUGAGUGGCAGAGCUGCCAGCUCUUAGCAAGGGUUUGUUUAAAAGUAGCUCAGUUACAAUCGUUGGUGUCCCAGACUGUACUGGAGGUAAUAAAUAAUGCCACAGCAGAUAAGAAAAAUUUAAUUCUAUCAGAGUUGUAAAACAAUCACUGAAACAGUAUUCCCUGUGGGCUCAUUGUAUGACCUGCAGACAUCUGAAGUCAGAAGAAGGAUUUGAGGACAAGACACACUGACCACAGCUGUGACAGAUAAUAUUUACUUCAGUGGAGUGAGUUAAGUAAAGAGUUUCUCUCAUCUGGGUUAAGAUCCAGUGCCUUUCUGCUCUGCCUUCUGAAAAGACUCCUCCCUCAUCUCAAGUAAUAAGACCUUCAUCACAUGCUGGUUAUUCACAGUAUUUCACAAGUGCUACACUGUAAUUAGCAGAUAGAUGAAUAAUAUUUAAGCAAAUGUACAUAAUUUGUUGUCAUGCUGUAAAGUGAAUUCUGUAUCCAUGUAUGUUUGUACGUACUGUAUGUAUGUAUUUAUAUUUGGAAUAUUUCGGACUCUUGUUCAGUCCAAAUCUGUCCUAGCAGAGAGAAUCUUUUGUUUCAUUUUUAUUGCAUUGUAUACUGAAGUGCAGCUGCUUGUUAAACUUACUUUGUAAAUCCUUUUUCCAAUAAAAUCUGGAAAAAUAA